UAAGCCCACAGGCGCACUCCAGGAACUCAGAGGCCUGUCAUCGCACAACUGUGAGAAGCUGUCAGAACGCAGACGCUCCUGAAGAAGAAAGCAAGAAGGUGAACUCUGACAGAGCUGCAGGUGAGCACCAUCGUCGCUGAAAAUGGCUAAAACAUGGAAAGGAGUAGAGGAAGGAAAUCGGGAAGUGAAAAAAAUUGUUUCUAAAGUUCCACAGUCCAAACUGAAGUGUUUUUUACAUUUGAUCUUCUCUAGCUUGACCAUCCUUCAGAUUUCAGUUGGCGCGAUAUACUUGGACGAGUGCCCGAUCCAGGAGAAGAUCCCCAUCUACCUGAUUGUGUUUGGUGUCACUCUACUGGUUAAUCCUGUGAAUAUUGAUCCUGGUAUUAAAAAUGACUUUCUGAAGAAGGGCCAUUCCUGCUUGAGA